AGCACGUUACUGCUCUUCAGCUACUCGAUAGAAAGCAUUACUGCAGAGACUUGCAACGCCUCUAAAUGCCAAGAAGCAUAAAACAGAUAUGUUACCAGCAGAAGUGAGUGACAAAAAGGAGGUGGUUACACUGAAAUGGCCAACAUCGAUACUGAGGAAGAAAUCCAAAUUGACAAGAUAUGAAGAAUAUGUUGCUCACAGAACAAGAUCAGAAAGACGGGUCCGCUUUCGAGAAUCAGAUGAGAUAAUUUUUCACACAGCGACCGAAUAUGGCUCCCCAUUGCCGACGAUGUUUUGGAAAUUAUUGCUUGUCAUUUCGCUAAGUCUGGUGAUCAUAUUGCUGCAUUAUAACGAGAGAGCGUCAAACAUGUAUGAACAACUUCAUUCAAAACUCAUCAGUUAUUACCUGGAAAUGAAGCACAAAACUUUCAACUGGUUGAAUCGGAGUAGAAGACAUUAGGACAUCCACAGAUGCCAACAGCUUCAGACAAUCUCAAUUUAGCAAAAAACACUCAAGCAAAUGCGAAAACUUUUUGCCUUAAACUUUAUUAAAUGGAAAGUCAUUGAAGAAAUGAACUGAAAAAGGAUAGAACUGUGAGAGUUUGCCUAUCAACUGAAAUCUAUAGAACUAUUGUUAUAAUGUUUUGUUAUCAAUCAUUUUACAACUCAAAUGAUGAAUUAUUUCACACUGAUGUUUCUAUAUAAUGCAACUCGCAUGAAAGAAUCAACUCAAAGUCUAGCAUGCCAUGAGAUAAAUACAAAAUGCUGAAGUAACUCAGCGGGUCAGGCAGCAUCUCUGGAGAAAACGAGUAGGUGACGUUUCAAGUUGAGACCCUUCUUCAGACUGAGGAUCCUUCUUCCAUCUCAGUCUGAAGUAGGGUCUUGACCUGAAACAUCACCUAUUCCUUUUCCCCAGAGAUGCUACCCGACUCACAGGCAUUUUGUGUCUAUCUUCGGUGUAAACCAGAAUCUGUAUUUGCUUCCUAUAGCAUGCCAUGGUUUGAGUUGGAUUGGUAUGAAAGAGUCUUCGCAUUUUCAUUCCGUACUUACGCAGAGUCCCCUAUCCCAUUCUAAAUUAAUCUUUUAUAGCUACAAAUCUAAAAAUUAUUUAUAUUCCCUUUUAUGAAAUAGAAAGGUGACUGCAUUUCCCCAUAUUGACCAUGGGACUUUCUAUCCAUCUUACGUAUUUAGAUUUAAGUAUCCUGAAAAUUCCAAAUUAGCUCAUUGCAGAAUCCUCACAUCCUGAAUGUUAGUUUAGAGAUACAACAUGGAAACAGGCCCUUCGGCCCACCAAAUCCAUGCCAACCAUCAAUCACUGUUGACACUAGUUUCAUAUUAUCCCACCUUCUCAUCCACUCCCUACACAAUAGGGAGCAAUUUACAGAAGCCAAUUACCUUUCUUGCACUAAGCUUUACUCCAUUUAUCAUGUGAAUGGCUCGAUCGUAAUCGUGUGUUGUUUUUCUGACUGGAUAGAAUGCAACAAAAGCUUUUCACUGUACCUCGGUACAUGUGAUAAUAAACUAAACCACAAACCCGCACAUGGAAGAAAAUUGGAACACCCAGAGGAAAUCCGUGCGGUCACAGGGAGAACAUGCAAACUUCACACAGACAGCACCCGAGGUCAGGAUCAAACCUGGGUCUCUGGCACUUGAGGCAGCACCACUACACCACCCUAAUGAUGCCAGCUGUGUCAAAACCAGCAACAUAACCAAUACAAAAGCCAAAAUAUUACUAAUUCUGAACAACUGAAUUUGAACCAACAAAUAUUUGAAAUAAUACCAGGAAAAGUGGCACCUGAACAGUUGAGGCCCUUUUGUCAUAAUUCAGUAACAGAAGUAAACAAUGGACAAUAGAUGCAGGAGUAGGCCAUUCGGCCCUUCAAGUCAGGACCACCAUUCAAUGUGCUCAUUCACAAUCAGUAUCCUGUUCCUGCCUUCUUCCCAUAUUCCCUGACUCCGCUAUCUUCAAGAGCCCUAUCCAGAAAGUGUCCAGAGAACCGGCCCCCACCGCCUUCUGAAGCAGAGAAUUCCACACUCGCAACUCUGUGCAAAAAAGUGUUUCCUCAUCUCCGUUCUAAAUAUCUUACCCCUUAUUCUUAAACUGUGGCCCCUGGUUCUGUACUCCCCCAACAUCGGGAACAUGUUUCCAGCCUCUAGCGUGUCCAAACCCUUAAUAAUCUUAUAUGUUUCAAUAAGAUCCCUUCUCAUCCUAAAUUCCAGAGUAUACAAGCCCAGCCGCUCCAUUCUCUCAGCAUAUGACAGCCCCGCUAUCCCGGGAAUUAACCUUGUGAACCUACGCUGCACUUCCUCAAUAGCAAGAAUGUCCUUCCUCAAAUUUGGAGACCAAAACUGUACACAAUACUCCAGGUGUGGUCUCACUAGGGCCCUGUACAACUGCAGGACCUCUUGGCUUCUAUACUCAACUCCUCUUGUUAUGGCCAACAUAUUCGCUUUCUUCACUGCCUGCAUGCUUACUUUCAUUGACUGAUGAACAAGGACCCCCAGAUCCCAUUGUACUUCUCUUUUUCCCAA